UCCCUGGUGGCUCAGCUGGUAAAGAAUCUGCCUGCAAUGCAGAAGACCUGGGUUUGAUCCCUGGGUUGGGAA
rfam:Ovis aries breed Texel chromosome 6, whole genome shotgun sequence.